rnacentral:rRNA from 1 species
AGAGUUUGAUCAUGGCUCAGGACGAACGCUGGCGGCGUGCCUAAAACAUGCAAGUCGAACGAGGCCUUCGGGUCUAGUGGCGAACGGCGGAGUAAUACAUGAACAACGUGCCCCUAAGUCUGGGACAAACGCAGAAAUGUUAUAAAUACCAGAUGUGGCCGGAGAAGGACAUCCUUUUCCGAUUAAAGGUUUUCGCUUAGGGAGCGGUUCAUGGCCUAUCAGCUAGUUGGUGGGGUAACGGCCUACCAAGGCGACGACGGGUAGGGGGUCUAAGAGGAUGAUCCCCCCGAGUGGGACUGAGACACGGCCCACACACCUACGGGUGGCAGCAGUUGGGAAUCUUGCACAAUGGGGGAAACCCCUGAUGCAGCGACGCCGCGUGGAGGAUGACGGAUCUAGGUCUGUAAACUCCUUUUCAGGGAAAGACUUAGGACGGUACCCUGAGAAUAAGGACCGGCUAACUACGUG